CAGCCGCCGCGGGAAUACGUAGGUGGCAAGCGUUGUCCGGAAUUAUUGGGCGUAAAGGGCUCGCAGGCGGUUUCUUAAGUCUGAUGUGAACGCCCCCGGCUCAACCGGGGAGGGUCAUUGGAAACUGGGAAACUUGAGUGCAGAAGAGGAGAGUGGAAUUCCACGUGUAGCGGUGAAAUGCGUAGAGAUGUGGAGGAACACCAGUGGCGAAGGCGACUCUCUGGUCUGUAACUGACGCUGAGGAGCGAAAGCGUGGGGAGCGAACAGGAUUAGAUACCCGAGUAGUCCCUGUCUCUUAUAA
rnacentral:rRNA from 1 species